AUAAUGGGUCAGCGACUUAUAUUCUGUAGCAAGGUUAACCGAAUAGGGGAGCCGAAGGGAAACCGAGUCUUAACUGGGCGUUAAGUUGCAGGGUAUAGACCCGAAACCCGGUGAUCUAGCCAUGGGCAGGUUGAAGGUUGGGUAACACUAACUGGAGGACCGAACCGACUAAUGUUGAAAAAUUAGCGGAUGACUUGUGGCUGGGGGUGAAAGGCCAAUCAAACCGGGAGAUAGCUGGUUCUCCCCGAAAGCUAUUUAGGUAGCGCCUCGUGAAUUCAUCUCCGGGGGUAGAGCACUGUUUCGGCAAGGGGGUCAUCCCGACUUACCAACCCGAUGCAAACUGCGAAUACCGGAGAAUGUUAUCACGGGAGACACACGGCGGGUGCUAACGUCCGUCGUGAAGAGGGAAACAACCCAGACCGCCAGCUAAGGUCCCAAAGUCAUGGUUAAGUGGGAAACGAUGUGGGAAGGCCCAGACAGCCAGGAUGUUGGCUUAGAAGCAGCCAUCAUUUAAAGAAAGCGUAAUAGCUCACUGGUCGAGUCGGCCUGCGCGGAAGAUGUAACGGGGCUAAACCAUGCACCGAAGCUGCGGCAGCGACGCUGAUGCGUUGUUGGGUAGGGGAGCGUUCUGUAAGCCUGUGAAGGUGUGCUGUGAGGCAUGCUGGAGGUAUCAGAAGUGCGAAUGCUGACAUAAGUAACGAUAAAGCGGGUGAAAAGCCCGCUCGCCGGAAGACCAAGGGUUCCUGUCCAACGUUAAUCGGGGCAGGGUGAGUCGACCCCUAAGGCGAGGCCGAAAGGCGUAGUCGAUGGGAAACAGGUUAAUAUUCCUGUACUUGGUGUUACUGCGAAGGGGGGACGGAGAAGGCUAUGUUGGCCGGGCGACGGUUGUCCCGGUUUAAGCGUGUAGGCUGGUUUUCCAGGCAAAUCCGGAAAAUCAAGGCUGAGGCGUGAUGACGAGGCACUACGGUGCUGAAGCAACAAAUGCCCUGCUUCCAGGAAAAGCCUCUAAGCAUCAGGUAACAUCAAAUCGUACCCCAAACCGACACAGGUGGUCAGGUAGAGAAUACCAAGGCGCUUGAGAGAACUCGGGUGAAGGAACUAGGCAAAAUGGUGCCGUAACUUCGGGAGAAGGCACGCUGAUAUGUAGGUGAAGUCCCUCGCGGAUGGAGCUGAAAUCAGUCGAAGAUACCAGCUGGCUGCAACUGUUUAUUAAAAACACAGCACUGUGCAAACACGAAAGUGGACGUAUACGGUGUGACGCCUGCCCGGUGCCGGAAGGUUAAUUGAUGGGGUCAGCGCAAGCGAAGCUCUUGAUCGAAGCCCCGGUAAACGGCGGCCGUAACUAUAACGGUCCUAAGGUAGCGAAAUUCCUUGUCGGGUAAGUUCCGACCUGCACGAAUGGCGUAAUGAUGGCCAGGCUGUCUCCACCCGAGACUCAGUGAAAUUGAACUCGCUGUGAAGAUGCAGUGUACCCGCGGCAAGACGGAAAGACCCCGUGAACCUUUACUAUAGCUUGACACUGAACAUUGAGCCUUGAUGUGUAGGAUAGGUGGGAGGCUUUGAAGUGUGGACGCCAGUCUGCAUGGAGCCGGCCUUGAAAUACCACCCUUUAAUGUUUGAUGUUCUAACGUUGACCCGUGAUCCGGGUUGCGGACAGUGUCUGGUGGGUAGUUUGACUGGGGCGGUCUCCUCCUAAAGAGUAACGGAGGAGCACGAAGGUUGGCUAAUCCUGGUCGGACAUCAGGAGGUUAGUGCAAUGGCAUAAGCCAGCUUGACUGCGAGCGUGACGGCGCGAGCAGGUGCGAAAGCAGGUCAUAGUGAUCCGGUGGUUCUGAAUGGAAGGGCCAUCGCUCAACGGAU
rnacentral:rRNA from 1 species